UGCUUUCUGUCUCGUAGGUGACCUGCGGAGGGAUCAUUACACAAAUAUGAAGGCGGGCUGGAACCUCUCGGGGUUACAGCCUUGCUGAAUUAUUCACCCUUGUCUUUUGCGUACUUCUUGUUUCCUUGGUGGGUUCGCCCACCACUAGGACAACCAUAAACCUUUUGUAAUUGCAAUCAGCGUCAGUAACAAAUUAAUAAUUACAACUUUCAACAACGGAUCUCUUGGUUCUGGCAUCGAUGAAGAACGCAGCGAAAUGCGAUAAGUAGUGUGAAUUGCAGAAUUCAGUGAAUCAUCGAAUCUUUGAACGCACAUUGCGCCCUUUGGUAUUCCAAAGGGCAUGCCUGUUCGAGCGUCAUUUGUACCCUCAAGCUUUGCUUGGUGUUGGGCGUCUUGUCUCUAGCUUUGCUGGAGACUCGCCUUAAAGUAAUUGGCAGCCGGCCUACUGGUUUCGGAGCGCAGCACAAGUCGCACUCUCUAUCAGCAAAGGUCUAGCAUCCAUUAAGCCUUUUUUUCAACUUUUGACCUCGGAUCAGGUAGGGAUACCCGCUGAACUUAAGCAUAUCAAAGGCGGGGAGGAA
rnacentral:rRNA from 1 species